CAGUAGCCGCGGGAAUACGAAGGGUGCAAGCGUUACUCGGAAUUACUGGGCGUAAAGCGUGCGUAGGUGGUGGUUUAAGUCCGUUGUGAAAGCCCUGGGCUCAACCUGGGAAUUGCAGUGGAUACUGGGUCACUAGAGUGUGGUAGAGGAUAGUGGAAUUUCCGGUGUAGCAGUGAAAUGCGUAGAGAUCGGAAGGAACAUCUGUGGCGAAGGCGACUAUCUGGGCCAACACUGACACUGAGGCACGAAAGCGUGGGGAGCAAACAGGAUUAGAUACCCGAGUAGUUCCUGUCUCUUAUAC
rnacentral:rRNA from 1 species